UACGGGGGGGGCAAGCGUUGUUCGGAAUUACUGGGCGGAAAGGGCUCGUAGGUGGCCAACUAAGUCAGGCGUGAAAUCCCCAGGCUCAACUUGGGGACUGCGUCUGAUACUGGAUGGCUUGAAUUCGGGAGAGGGAUGCAGAAUUCCAGGUGUAGCGGUGAAAUGCGUAGAUAUCUGGAGGAAUACCGGUGGCGAAGGCGGCAUCCUGGACCAAUACUGACGCUGAGGAGCGAAAGCCAGGGGAGCAAACGGG
rnacentral:rRNA from 1 species